rnacentral:rRNA from 1 species
ACGGUCCUAAGGUAGCGAAAUUCCUUGUCGGGUAAGUUCCGACCUGCACGAAUGGCAUAAUGAUGGCCACACUGUCUCCUCCCGAGACUCAGUGAAGUUGAAAUGUUUGUGAUGAUGCAAUCUCCCCGCGGCUAGACGGAAAGACCCCGUGAACCUUUACUAUAGCUUGACACUGAACACUGGUCCUUGAUGUGUAGGAUAGGUGGGAGGCUUUGAAGCGUGGACGCCAGUCUGCGUGGAGCCGUCCUUGAAAUACCACCCUUUAAUGGCUGGUGUUCUAACGUAGACCCGUGAUCCGGGUUGCGGACAGUGUCUGGUGGGUAGUUUGACUGGGGCGGUCUCCUCCCAAAGAGUAACGGAGGAGCACGAAGGUUAGCUAAUCCUGGUCGGACAUCAGGAGGUUAGUGCAAUGGCAUAAGCUAGCUUGACUGCGAGAGUGACGGCUCGAGCAGGUGCGAAAGCAGGUCAUAGUGAUCCGGUGGUUCUGAAUGGAAGGGCCAUCGCUCAACGGAUAAAAGGUACUCCGGGGAUAACAGGCUGAUACCGCCCAAGAGUUCAUAUCGACGGCGGUGUUUGGCACCUCGAUGUCGGCUCAUCACAUCCUGGGGCUGAAGUAGGUCCCAAGGGUAUGGCUGUUCGCCAUUUAAAGUGGUACGCGAGCUGGGUUCAGAACGUCGUGAGACAGUUCGGUCCCUAUCUGCCGUGGGCGCUGGAGAAUUGAGGGGGGCUGCUCCUAGUACGAGAGGACCGGAGUGGACGCAUCACUGGUGUUCGGGUUGUCAUGCCAAUGGCACUGCCCGGUAGCUAAAUGCGGAAAAGAUAAGUGCUGAAAGCAUCUAAGCACGAAACUUGCCCCGAGAUGAGUUCUCCCUGACUCCUUGAGAGUCCUGAAGGAACGUUGAAGACGACGACGUUGAUAGGUCGGGUGUGUAAGCGCAGCGAUGCGUUGAGCUAACCGAUACUAAUGAACCGUGAGGCUUAACCUU